UACGUAGGGUGCGAGCGUUGUCCGGAAUUAUUGGGCGUAAAGAGCUUGUAGGUGGUUUGUCGCGUCUGCUGUGAAAAUCCGGGGCUCAACCCCGGACUUGCAGUGGGUACGGGCAGACUAGAGUGUGGUAGGGGAGACUGGAAUUCCUGGUGUAGCGGUGGAAUGCGCAGAUAUCAGGAGGAACACCGAUGGCGAAGGCAGGUCUCUGGGCAUUAACUGACGCUGGAGGAGCGAAAAGCAUGGGGAGCGAACAGG
rnacentral:rRNA from 1 species